UGCGUAGGCAGCGAGCGUUGUUCGGAAUUACUGGGCGUAAAGAGUGUGUAGGCGGUGCUCUAAGUUCGGUGUGAAAUCUCCUGCUUAACUGGGAGGGUGCGCCGAAAACUGGAGUGCUCGAGCGUGGGAGAGGAAAGCGGAAUUCCUGGUGUAGCGGUGAAAUGCGUAGAUAUCAGGAGGAACACCUGCGGUGUAGACGGCUUUCUGGACCAUUGCUGACGCUGAGACACGAAAGCGUGGGUAGCAAACAGG
rnacentral:rRNA from 1 species